CCUACGGGAGGCAGCAGUGAGGAAUAUUGGUCAAUGGGCGGGAGCCUGAACCAGCCAAGUCGCGUGAGGGAAGACGGUCCUAUGGAUUGUAAACCUCUUUUGUCGGGGAGCAAUGCCGGGCACGCGUGCCCGGAGGGAGAGUACCCGCAGAAUAAGCAUCGGCUAACUCCGUGCAAGCAGCCGCGGUAAUACGGAGGUUGCGAGCGUUAUCAGGAUUUAUUGGGUUUAAAGGGUUCGUAGGCGGAUUUUUAAGUCAGCGGGAAAAUGUCGGGGCUCAACCCGGGCGGGCCGUUGAAACUGGGGAUCUUGAGUGGGAGAGAAGUAUGCGGAAUGCGUGGUGUAGCGGUGAAAUGCAUAGAUAUCACGCAGAACUCCGAUUGCGAAGGCAGCAUACCGGCGCCCGACUGACGCUGAGGCACGAAAGCGUGGGGAUCGAACAGGAUUAGAUACCCGUGUAGUC
rnacentral:rRNA from 1 species